UAAUUUGAUAGAUGAGAAAAUUGAUGCCAAGAAGGUUAAAUAAUUUUCUAAGAUAACAAAGCUGAUCAUCCAUAGAACUGGGAAUUUAUUUCAGGCUCUUUGACUUCAAAUCCUCUGUUCUAUUUUAUUAAAACAGUUUUUUCAACACUUGAUUUGUGACCUAUUCAUGACUUCCAAAGUAAUUUUUAAAGUAUCACAGAGUGCAACGUGAAAUAAGAGACAGUAUUGUCUUGUGAAACUUUUGUUUUAGUCUUUACAUUCAUGUGAAUAUAUGUGUAAGGGAUGUGGUAUAAAUUGUAUUUAUCAGAGUCAAAGUAAUUUGAAAACCAAUGCGUUAAAUUGCACUUUUUCUACACUAUAUUAACCCCUUGAGGGUAGGGAUUUAAUUUUAUUCAAUACUGUAACUCAAGAUCAUAGCUGAUCUUAAGAAUUUUAUUCAAUACUGUAACUCAAGAUCAUAACUGAUCUUAAGUUGUUUUUUUUUUUUGCUGACUAUGGCUAUUUUAUAAUCAAAAUGUCAUUCUAUUAUUAAAUUUGUGGGUACAGGCAGAGUUUCACCUGAAUGAUGAACUGUUAAUUAUGAAAUAUAUCUUCCAACUGUGAGAUGGAAAUGGAAAGUAUGCUCAAGCCUGCUAUAGGUAUAGACUGAGGCUUUCUUCCCAUGGUAUUGACCUUGAAGGAAUUACAAUUUCCCAACUGGGCUGCUGGGCUGGGGAAUUCACAGGCUUGCAUCCGUUUCUCAGAGUCAGGCUACUGGCUGGGAAGCAUAGCAUCAAGCGUGGAGUCUCAAUUUCCUUGGUCACUCAAGAAACUUGCUUUCAUCAUCUUAGAUUACAUUUUUGGUCACUAGAACUACACUCUCAAGAGUACUUUCAGCUUCCUGUAGCUUUCUUCUUUUGCCCUUUUCCAAAAAAAAAAAAAAAAAAAAAAACUCAAACUCUCCAUUCACUUUAACAACUGGCACUCUUAAGGAAAACCAUAUAACAUGUGGUUUGGAGCCACAACCAAUCCAUAGUCUCUGACAUUAGCUGUGCCCUUUGCUUACUUGUCCCUGGUCAGUUCCCUUUCCCAUUUUCCUCAGAAACUGUUCUUAGUCUUCACUCCUUUCUUCUCACUCUUGCUUUUCUAUUCAUUUCUUCAUGCUCAGCAGAUGAGCUUUUGUACGAUAUCAUCAGAGGCUUUAGGCAAUCUGAAAUAAACAGCUUUGACCACUGAGCAACCAUCUGUGGAUUAUCUAAAGAAGACCUACAUACUCCCUCCCUCCAUUCCUCUUAUCCUUCAUCUUAAAACAAGAUAUUUUACUCUUGCAACAUUCUUCUGCUCCCACACAGACAUCAUUUAUUGUCCACUUUGUCCUAUACCUUCAACCUCUUCUUCAUUACUGGCUCUAUCACCUCAGACUAUUAACAUAUUAAUCAAGAAUAACAUUAACAUGAAAGAAAACCAGAAAUCUCAACUCUCCUAAUUGCCACCUGUUGAUGUCCCUUUAGCCAAGCAUCUUAAAAUAUAUUA
rnacentral:lncRNA from 1 species